rnacentral:tRNA from 5 species
GGGCCCUUAGCUUAGUCCGGUUCAAAGCCCCCGGCUCAUAUCAGUGCCGUCGCAUGCGGCGGCGCUGUGGGACACCGGGUGAGCGGUGGUUCAAAUCCGCCAGGGCCCA